CUGAGGGGAACAGAUAGUACCUCAGUGACCAGAGUGUUGGAUCAGCUCUAGGCUACUAGUACUUUGUCACAAACUGGUAUGCAGUUAAUGAAUCUUCUGAGCACAGAGAAGAGCCUUCUGUCACUUGGGUGAGAUGAGUUCAAUGUUCCACUAAUAAAGCAUCAUGCUGAAUAGGAUGACCUUUGCGGUAAGGAAAGGCAAAUACAGUGCAGCGUAUCUGACAGCAUUGGGAGACGCCUAAGAAAUCUGGAGAAGUAAAAGUGAAGAAAAUCCAUGGCUCCACCCAUUGUAGGGGACCCAAAACAGUUAUAUUGGCUGAUGCCAUUAAAGGGUCCACGCUGCGACAAAUGCGUCCUCUUGAAAGCUGGCUGGUUAUUAUUGUGCUCUGGUCCUGGGGGGAGCAGGACAUAGAGUGCAACUUUCUCCGUUGGUAGCUAGCAGGAUCUUCCCUGCUCUUGGGAGGAUGAGAAUCCAGAGCACAGACACUUGUCAGCAGCUUCACUGUGAUCAGAGAUGAGGAUGCAAAGGCCAAAAGUCUGCACUGUGAGCCAAGAAAAAGGACCCCUGCAGAAUCCUCUUGUCUUUAUUGUGGGUCCCACUUGGGGCUCUGCCCAAGCUCAGUCAAAAUAAAAUACACCUUAGGGUGGCACUUCCAGGCUUCAUUUAAGCAGGAGAGUUGGUUAACCAGGGUUCAUUAAAACAGUGUUGUACUGUAACUUACAGGGCUAAUUACCUGAAACAUGCCAGAAAAAUGAUCCAUACUGGCUGUGGACCUUAAAUAUUUUUAACAAAGCCUCCCAUGAACUCUCUAUCAGGUUUCCCAACUGAAUCUCUCAGUCCCAGGCCUAGAGUGCCUGGCAUAACGUCCAUUUCAGUUAGCGGUCAGGCAGCUGCUAAACAGCUAAGUUCUUGCCUUUGGGCUGGCUUUUGGAAGACCCUAGAUGUUUAAGCUUUUGGGUAGAACAUGGACUCUGCUGUGGCAGGCUGUGUGCUAUGGUAAAAGCUAAAGGUAUAACAACUGACAUUUUUGGAGAGUUUUAAGGUCUGUUUUUCUCACUCUGAUGCUGGGAGAAAUGAUUUUGAAUGGGCUUUUUAAAGACUAAAGUCAGGGAUUUUUACAGUCAAUUGUAGCGAU